rnacentral:rRNA from 1 species
AGUCGAGCGGGGUGAUGUAGCUUGCUACAUUACCUAGCGGCGGACGGGUGAGUAAUGCUUAGGAAUCUGCCUAUUAGUGGGGGACAACAUUCCGAAAGGAAUGCUAAUACCGCAUACGUCCUACGGGAGAAAGCAGGGGAUCUUCGGACCUUGCGCUAAUAGAUGAGCCUAAGUCAGAUUAGCUAGUUGGUGGGGUAAAGGCCUACCAAGGCGACGAUCUGUAGCGGGUCUGAGAGGAUGAUCCGCCACACUGGGACUGAGACACGGCCCAGACUCCUACGGGAGGCAGCAGUGGGGAAUAUUGGACAAUGGGCGCAAGCCUGAUCCAGCCAUGCCGCGUGUGUGAAGAAGGCCUUUUGGUUGUAAAGCACUUUAAGCGAGGAGGAGGCUACUUGGAUUAAUACUCUAGGAUAGUGGACGUUACUCGCAGAAUAAGCACCGGCUAACUCUGUGCCAGCAGCCGCGGUAAUACAGAGGGUGCGAGCGUUAAUCGGAUUUACUGGGCGUAAAGCGUGCGUAGGCGGCUUCUUAAGUCGGAUGUGAAAUCCCUGAGCUUAACUUAGGAAUUGCAUUCGAUACUGGGAGGCUAGAGUAUGGGAGAGGAUGGUAGAAUUCCAGGUGUAGCGGUGAAAUGCGUAGAGAUCUGGAGGAAUACCGAUGGCGAAGGCAGCCAUCUGGCCUAAUACUGACGCUGAGGUACGAAAGCAUGGGGAGCAAACAGGAUUAGAUACCCUGGUAGUCCAUGCCGUAAACGAUGUCUACUAGCCGUUGGGGCCUUUG